rnacentral:rRNA from 1 species
CCUACGGGUGGCAGCAGUAGGGAAUAUUGCGCAAUGGGGGAAACCCUGAAGCAGCAACGCCGCGUGGACGAGGAAGGUUUUAGGAUUGUAAACUCCUUUUGUUAGAGAAGAUUAUGACGGUAUCUAACGAAUAAGCACCGGCUAACUCCGUGCCAGCAGCCGCGGUAAUACGGAGGGUGCAAGCGUUACCCGGAAUCACUGGGCGUAAAGAGUGCGUAGGCGGGGUAGUAAGUCAGAUGUGAAAGCCUGUGGCGUAACUACAGAAGUGCAGUUGACACUGGUACUCUGGAGUGUGGGAGAGGUAGGUGGAAUUCUUGGUGUAGGGGUGAAAUGCGUAGAGAUCAGGAGGAAUACUCGUUGCGAAGGCGACCUACUGGAACGUUACUGACGCUGAUGCACGAAAGCGUGGGGAGCAAACAGGAUUAGAUACCCUUGUAGUC